UGAACUGACCUUGCACUGCAUGUGAAAGGGCUAUUUGCAGUCUUUUCCUUUUUCAAAUAAUGAUGUAAAUGCAGAUUUAUAAAGAAGUAAACAUGCUUCUAACUAUCUUAAUUGCCUUUAAAGGACAUCUUCAAAAAUUCAAUUUGAAAAUUAUGUUUAUAUUCUUCAGGGAAAAAUGUUAUGAUGUGUUUGGAUAGGAGACAACCCAUUGAAAAUUUACUUUGUACUUCUUCCACAUAUUUAUCUGGCUUUGCUCCAUCUCUCAGCAAAUUUAAAGUGUCACUUGCUACUGCAUAUACAUCAAAAGAACGUUAGCAGGACUAUGCCAUCUCAAAAUGACAACUUUUUACAUGGUAUUGAAGGAAAGCAAAUUGCAGACACUUUAAACUUAAACAAGCUACCUAAUUACAAAAGGUUAAAUGAAAAAUUAAAAAAUAUAUCAAAACUUUUAUAUCACUUUACAUGAUUGAUAAACUCUAUAUGAUGUCUCUGCUCAGUCUUUACUUCAGCUAAAUUGUAAUGAGAAUUGUAAAUAAACUGCAGUUUUAAUUUUUAGUUAAAAGCUGUGGUACCCCAAAUGAUUAUAAAAAGAAUGGAGAAAGAGGGUAAAAAAUAAAAAGUAACCUUAACAUAAAUUGAGCAACAAUCUGAAAGUUUAUUCCCUGUUGUAAAUUGAGCUCUACUUCUUCACUUUUCAUUCCAAAGUUACAUGAGAUUUAUCAGAUUGUUGAACACAUUUAAACAUUAUAACAAGCAUAAUAUUGUUUUUUGUUCUUUGGUUAUCUGCUAGAAGUUGUAUCAGUGUGCUUUUGUCACCUUAUGCUCCACUAAUGAUUGUUAUAUGAAGAUUUAUUUGAGGCUCUAAAUAUAACCCAUAAAUGAUUGUAUAUUUCAGAAGAACAUUGGUGGGAAGAUAUUCAUGCUCACAACUCUAACUCAUUUUUAAUGCAUCGACACAUUAGAUUUUACGUGUCGUGAUAUCAUUCUUCAUUAGUAAACAGCAGUAUUUACUUUGUUUUCUUUCGGUAUGCAUUAAUGACCUCAUUCAGAACUACACUGACAUUAUUCUAUAUAUGUACUCUUCUUAAGUGUUGCCAGUCCUGAUGAUUAAUAACUCCAUUUAAGAUGUAAUAAUAUACUGUCAUUCAAGAAGUCGAACUUGAAAUCAGUCCCCAAGUAUGGUUUUGCAUCUGAAUGAAUGACUUGAACAUGAGGUUCAACUCUUUUGUUUUGCGUAUUUAUUUGGUGCUUUUGAAAUCUAUUCUAAGGAAAAAAAGUAAAAAGUUCAAAAGUUGCAGAACUAUUGAGAAUUAUCUCUUUGUUCACUUAAAGGACAUUGGUGACAUCUUAUUUUUUUCGAUAUUUUGGACAAUUAGAUACAUAUGUUGUUGUGAUACAUUUGAAUUUCUUUUUUAGAUCGUUUCAUCUUUUUCCCAUGUUGUUAUGGUAGAUUUUCAUGUGGACUGUAUCUUAAGUUCACUAUGGGUGAUUGGCACGUGUAUUUGCUUGAACAUGGUAUUUCUAUAUUCGAAUCUAUGGCAUUUUACAUCAACAUCUAAAAGCCAUCACCAAGAGCUCUCUCAGUAACUUUUAUCCUUGCAAGGCGAUUGGACUUCAUCCCAACUGAUUGGUAAAAGCAUGGCAGGUUUUGGCAUUGCCACUAUGCAUAUACCCUUUUCUUGAGGGUCUUGCAUAUUGCAGCUUUACGAUUGCUUUGUUGGUCCUUCAAUGAAUAGAGUAUAAAUCUUUCUAAUGUUUGAUAAUGAGACAUUUGUGCAUAUUUACUUUAUAGACUCAUCUCACUGGUUUAUAUCUAUAUAUGGAUAGAUCAGUGCGCUUGCAUUAAGUUUCAUGCCUUCUCUUUGCAUGACUUAGCAAAUGUAUCCCAACUUCAUGAUUCGGCAAAUUGUUGACCACUUUUGCAUAUUUGGAGCUGGUAAGUGAAGAAGUAUGGUGUCGAAAGUUUUAGAUUACUUUAAACAUCCACACUUAUAUGAUAAUUGUUUAUAUGUUAGGGUCGACAUCAAGAAUGUGUACUGAACAAUAUAAUACUAACUUGCACAUCGUUGCGGAGAGAAAUUUGUUUUAUCUAAGCUUAGAGUGAUUUUAGUCACUUAUUUUCCUUAACCCUUUUACAUUCUGCAAAAUCUUAAAUACUCAGAUCGCAAUGCUACAACAUUGAGUUGUCAGAACAAUACUGAGCUGCUGAACAAUUAUUCUACACACAAAGAUAUGUAUACUUUGUGGAGCACAAGAUUGGAACAUGAAUAAUCAGAACUGGAAGCUGUUUGUUCGUGAUCAUAUCAGUCAUUUAAUUUAAGGA